rnacentral:lncRNA from 1 species
GAUAUGGGUUAUAUUGAUGGAGGAAGCAUUCUGGUGGCUCUACCACAAAUAUUUGAUCUGGUGGCUUUGCCACAAAUAUCUGUUUCUAGUGGCUCUGCCACAAUAUCUGUAUCUGGUGAUUCUAUCACAAUAUCUGUUCUGGUAGCCAUGCUGCAAAUUUUGUGACGUGUAGCGGUUGGGUAGGUCGAGUAGUCUCGCC